rnacentral:rRNA from 1 species
AACGAACGCUGGCGGCAGGCCUAACACAUGCAAGUCGAGCGAGGACUUCGGUCCUAGCGGCGGACGGGUGAGUAACGCGUGGGAACGUGCCCUUUGCUUCGGAAUAGCCCUGGGAAACUGGGAGUAAUACCGGAUGAGCCCUUUGGGGGAAAGAUUUAUCGGCGAAGGAUCGGCCCGCGUUGGAUUAGGUAGUUGGUGGGGUAAUGGCCUACCAAGCCGACGAUCCAUAGCUGGUUUGAGAGGAUGAUCAGCCACACUGGGACUGAGACACGGCCCAGACUCCUACGGGAGGCAGCAGUGGGGAAUCUUAGACAAUGGGGGAAAACCUGAUAUAGCCAUGCCGCGUGAGCGAUGAAGGCCUUAGGGUUGUAAAGCUCUUUCAGCUGGGAAGAUAAUGACGGUACCAGCAGAAGAAGCCCCGGCUAACUCCGUG